rnacentral:tRNA from 1 species
AAUAAGAUGCCUGAUUAAAGGUCCAUUUUGAUGUAAUGAUUUAUAUAUAAUUACAUUAUAUUCUUAUUG